UACGAAGGGAGCUAGCGUUGUUCGGAAUCACUGGGCGUAAAGCGCACGUAGGCGGAUUUGUAAGUCAGGGGUGAAAUCCCGGGGCUCAACCUCGGAACUGCCCUUGAAACUGCAGUGCUAGAAUUCUGGAGAGGCGAGUGGAAUUCCGAGUGUAGAGGUGAAAUUCGUAGAUAUUCGGAAGAACACCAGUGGCGAAGGCGACUCGCUGGACAGACAUUGACGCUGAGGUGCGAAAGCGUGGGGAGCAAACAGG
rnacentral:rRNA from 1 species